rnacentral:rRNA from 1 species
CUACGGGAUGCAGCAGUGAGGAAUAGUGCACAAUGGGGGGAACCCUGAUGCAGCAACGCCGCGUGGAGGAUGACGCAUUUCGGUGUGUAAACUCCUUUUAUAUGUCAAGAAAAUGACGGUAGCAUAUGAAUAAGCACCGGCUAACUCCGUGCCAGCAGCCGCGGUAAUACGGGAGGGUGCAAGCGUUACUCGGAAUCACUGGGCGUAAAGGACGCGUAGGCGGGUUGGAAAGUCAGGUGUGAAAUCCUACAGCUUAACUGUAGAACUGCACUUGAAACUUCUAAUCUAGAGUAUGGGAGGGGGAGAUGGAAUUAGUGGUGUAGGGGUAAAAUCCGUAGAUAUCACUAGGAAUACCUAAAGCGAAGGCGAUCUCCUGGAACAUUACUGACGCUAAGGCGUGAAAGCGUGGGGAGCAAACAGGAUUAGAUACCCGAGUAGUC